rnacentral:lncRNA from 1 species
UUGGGAUGAGAGAAAAAUGGUCUCUGCUUUCAGGAGCUCACAGUGAAGAAAUGAGGAGGAAUAUAGAAGCAAAUUAACACAAAUCAGCAUGAGAGGUCUCUCCAUCUGCAUGGGAUCCCUCUAUCAGAAGGUAUUGACCUUGGCUUCAGAAUCACCUGGAAAGCUCUGAAAGACCUCAAUGCCUAGACUGCAGCCCAGACCAACUAACACUCCCUGGGGGUGGUACCCAGGCAUCUGUAUUUUUAAAAAUUCUGCAUGUGAUAUUAAUGGGCAGCCGAGUUUGAAAACCACUGUCAUAAAUCGAGAAUUCAGUAAUUCAAAAAUAAGAGUUAGGAAGAUGACUGUAUUAUGGUUUGGAGACUGUUACUAUAUUCUGAGAGGGCUGGUAGAGAAAAGAAUAUUGUUGUUCAGAGGAGAUCAGUGGUUAUAUCUAGCCAGGUUCAAAUACAGGAGCAUCAUAGAAUUUUACUAAUGCAG